rnacentral:rRNA from 1 species
UCAUUCUAGAUACACUUUCCAGUACAUCUACUAUGUUACGACUUAUCUUACCUUAAUAAUAAGAGCGACGGGCGAUAUGUACAUAUUUUAGAGCUAAAAUCAAAUUAUUAAUCUUUAUAAUUUUACUACCAAAUCCACUUUCAAAAAUUUUUUCAUAAUUUUAUCCAUAUAAAUAAAUUUAUUGUAACCCAUUAUUACUUAAACAUAAGCUACACCUUGAUCUGAUAUAAAUUUUUAUAAAAAUUAUUGAAUAUUAUUAUUCUUAUAAAAUAUUCUAAUAACGACGGUAUAUAAACUGAAUACAAAUCUAAGUAAGGUCCAUCGUGGAUUAUCGAUUACAAAACAGGUUCCUCUGGAUAGACUAAAAUACCGCCAAAUUUUUUAAGUUUCAAGAACAUAACUACUACUAC